CAACUCGACUGCAUGAAGCUGGAAUCGCUAGUAAUCGCGAAUCAGCAUGUCGCGGUGAAUACGUUCCCGGGUCUUGUACACACCGCCCGUCACACCAUGGGAGUCGGAAAUGCCCGAAGUCAGUGACCCAACCUAUUGGAGGGAGCUGCCGAAGGCAGGUCUGAUAACUGGGGUGAAGUCGUAACAAGGUAUC
rnacentral:rRNA from 1 species